ACGAACGCUGGCGGCGUGCUUAACACAUGCAAGUCGAACGGAAAGGCCCUGCUUUUGUGGGGUGCUCGAGUGGCGAACGGGUGAGUAACACGUGAGUAACCUGCCCUUGACUUUGGGAUAACUUCAGGAAACUGGGGCUAAUACCGGAUAGGAGCUCCUGCUGCAUGGUGGGGGUUGGAAAGUUUCGGCGGUUGGGGAUGGACUCGCGGCUUAUCAGCUUGUUGGUGGGGUAGUGGCUUACCAAGGCUUUGACGGGUAGCCGGCCUGAGAGGGUGACCGGCCACAUCGGGACUGAGAUACGGCCCAGACUCCUACGGGAGGCAGCAGUGGGGAAUAUUGCACAAUGGGCGGAAGCCUGAUGCAGCAACGCCGCGUGCGGGAUGACGGCCUUCGGGUUGUAAACCGCUUUCGCCUGUGACGAAGCGUGAGUGACGGUAAUGGGUAAAGAAGCACCGGCUAACUACGUG
rnacentral:rRNA from 1 species